GUUAGAGAUUUAUCCUUUGUUGUGAAAUCAAGCCAGUGCUAUUUGCAUGCUAGCUGUGAUCCAUUUUUCAUGUAGAUAGUGCUGUGAAAUAUUAGUGUGUUAAUGUUAAAUUUGUGAUAUUGUUAGCUACGGCAUAUGAUGACCAAGCAAACUGUAGAGGUUGCAUGGCUGUUUUCCAUGUACUUUAUUUUGCUUCAAUGCUAUUAAAACAUUUGUAUGUUUAUUGUGGAGUUCGUGUAUCUAGCCUAACAAAUACUCAUGUGUAAGUGUCUAUAUCAUGAUAUAACCUAGGAAUUGUUGUCAAGUUGAUAACUACACAGUUUUUUUUAUAUUAACUCUACUGUAGUACUACCUCCGUUCCAUAAUUCUUGUUGAAAUAUUACAUGUAUCUAGACGCUUUUUAGGAAUAGAUACAUCCAUUUUGGGGCAAAUUUGAGACAAGAAUUAUGGAACGGAGGGAGUAGUUCUUUUCACCAUACAUGAGAUGCAGAGAUGAGAUGGUUCGCAGGCUGAUUCCCUUCACGAUAGAUCCAAUGGAUAUUUUGCUUUUUGCUGUUCGUGGUGGAAUCUGGAAAAGGUGUAAUUAUCACUAGGAUAGUGCCCCAACAAUUACCCUCACUUGUUACCCAUGUCUUGCUCAUGAACUGGAAAACAAGGUACAGUACUUCUUUAUGCUAUCCCCGCCGUCCCAUACUGUUAGGUAGGAAAGCUAUUGGCCAGACAGAGCACAUAAUCAACUGGAAAAAAAAGAGAAAUGAAAUGCAUUUACUGGUAGAAAAGAAAGGCACCGCUAUCAAUCUGGAUGCAAGGCUGUAUAUGUAUUUUUACUUUUUAGACACAUAAAUCGUGUGCUUGUUUUCUUCUGCGAAUAAUAUUCCUGGUUAUGGUUGUGGCCUUUCCUGAGGAAUAGGUCCUGGGUAGGCAACUAAUGUAUGAAUAUCCCGCCAUGUUUUCUACCUAAUUCUAGCAAUGGUAUGAUGUUCACCUGUUUCAGGUGUAUGAGGCGUCUUAGAAUACUGUUUGAAACUGAUCUAUGCAAAGCUGUUAUUUUUUAUACAGUAUCUACUUAUUCUGUGCCUGAAGUUAGCUAUGUUCAGGGCGCGGUUGGAUGGUUAUUUUGGUCCAAUUUUCUAUUUUAUUAGCCACUAGAUUUCUUGUAGUCAGGACCGGCCAUAUCAUGGAGCAAUUUUUUUUUACUUUCCUCAAUUGCUAUACGCAUGUGCAUUCCGAAAAUAUAUUAAUUCACUGUUGUGUUAUCUUUUUGUCUGAUUGGUUAUGGGCUGUGUGAGCCAUCCAUGUUUGUGUCAUGGUCUCUUUGUAUUUUGUGGUCCUGCUUUUGUCAUCUAUGUAUUGCUACGUAUGAAAAAUACCAUAUCUAUAAUUUUCUUUCCAAUUUUGCUUACCAGAUUGCUAACUUGAUAGGAUGAUCAACUUCUGCAAAUUUCAUGAGAAAA